CAGCCGCCGCGGGAAUACGUAGGUGGCAAGCGUUGUCCGGAAUUAUUGGGCGUAAAGGGCUCGCAGGCGGUUUCUUAAGUCUGAUGUGAAAGCCCCCGGCUCAACCGGGGAGGGUCAUUGGAAACUGGGAAACUUGAGUGCAGAAGAGGAGAGUGGAAUUCCACGCGUAGCGGUGAAAUGCGUAGAGAUGUGGAGGAACACCAGUGGCGAAGGCGACUCUCUGGCCUGUAACUGACGCUGAGGAGCGAAAGCGUGGGGAGCGAACAGGAUUAGAUACCCCCGUAGUCCCUGUCUCUUAUAC
rnacentral:rRNA from 1 species